ensembl:lncRNA
UGUCAUGUAUGAAAACUCAUUUCCAACUAACCCAAAGUCAAAAAGAUUUUCUCUUAUAUUUUCUUCUGGGAAUUUUAUAAUUUUAUGUUUUACAUUUAGGUCUGUGAUCCAUGUUGAGGUAUUUUUCGUAAAAGUUUAAAAAGCAGCUUGAAGCUCAUCCUUUUGCAUAUUGAUGAUGUCGUAAGCAGAAUUCUAACAUGUUCCCCUCAAAAUAUCCCGCCCUAAUCCUUGGGGCUGUGAAUAUUAUUACAUAAUAUACCCUGAUUAUUUUAGUUUACAUGACGUGAGGCAUUAUGCAGAUGUCAUUAAGGUUACUAAUAAGUUGACAUUCAGAUUUAUCAAUAGGACAAUGAUCUUGGCGGGCUUGAUCUAAUUUACUAACUAGAGUACAGUAUUUGUAUGCUUAUUUUUGUCUGUAGCCGUGCAGUAUGCAGACAAAAUGCUAUCUUUCCCAAGCCCUUUAGGAGUAGAAUGUUUUCUCCAUCUGGCGGCAAAAGAGGAAGUCCCAAAGAUUCUAAGCAUGAGAAGGAUUUAACAUGAGGUUUCUCGUGUGAAGAUAGAGGGCUGUACGGGACAAGCGUUGCAGCCGGCCUAUAGAAGCCAGCAAGACAAGGAAACCCCAAUUCUGCAACUUGUGAGGAAUUGGAUUCUGCCAACAACCAUGUGAACGUGAAUGCAGAUUCUUGCCCGGAGUCUCCAGAUGAGGACCCAGUACAGCCAUUUCAACCUUGCAAGUUCUCGGACGAAGUCUAGGUUGUGCUGAGAGGUCCACUGCUGAGCGUGAUCACAGUACAGCACGACAGGACCCCAAGGGAAUCCUUGAUGAUGGCACAUCUCCUGCAGAGGGUGCGCUUGGCACCCAGAAACUGUAACGUCUCGAGUCAGCGUCAGAUAAUCAAGGAUCCAGGGAUUGGGGGCUGUCACUUACUCCGGUGAUGGAUCUGUCUUAAACCAGAGGAUCAGCGGGGCCUAAUGAAUCAGCCCAGGGAAGAAUGUUCCAGUUGGAGACAGAGAUCCCGACUGCCAACAAAACCACGUGCCGCUCCCCUCGCCCGACCAGCAAGGGCUUUGGGCAGAUGCCGCAUAAAACCCAGGGACAGCUCGAACCGAGGAGAGGCUCCUCUCCCCAAAUCGGAAGGUUAGAUGGGGCUGGUCACAGCUGGAGAAAACUGCUCACAGAGAUGAUGUCACUGAUGCUGAGUCCUGCCUUUGAGUCACCGCUGUAUGAUAAACUUUUGCCGAGUCCUCUCAAGAAAUACAUACACUUCUGGCUAAGCGGCCAUCCAGAACAUACAGAGGACCUUGAUGGAGUUAAAGAAGAAUUGAGUCACCUGAUGAUGAAACUCAGCUGCUCGCUCCUGGAAUGAGUAACUGCUGCUCAGGAGAGGUGGGCAGCUAGGUGGGUGGGGACGAAAAGCGUUGCUACUUAGCAUUGGAAAACCCCAAGGGAAGACUUUCUGAAAAUGAGACGAUGCCUCAUUAGCUGUUGGAGAUGAAGGCACGUUGUGGAUUGCCCACUUGAAAGUUGUAUUCUCCAAGCCACAGAAUCUGAAGUUUAGAAGUGGCCUGAGACCCUGUCUCCAUUUCUUCCCAUCAUGCAGCAUACUGUUGGGCCUUUUCCCCUCACUGACGGCUGGCUAUGCUUGGGGAAUGCCCAACCUGGGCAAUUGGGAAAGCAAAUCUGGGGCUGCAGCAAUUAAAAUGCAAGCAUAGAAUUCAUUGAGAUGAUAAGCAGACAUUACUGGGGAUAUCUGUCCAGCUACUCUUUUUUUUUUUAAUUUUUUUAACGUUUAUUUAUUUUUGAGACCGAGAGAGACAGAGCAUGAAUGGGGGAGGGUCAGAGAGAG